rnacentral:rRNA from 1 species
ACAACGGCUACUACAUCUACGGAAGGCAGCAGGCGCGUAAUUACCCUUCUUUUCCCCCCGGGAGGUGGUGACAAGAUAUAACAACAACGAUGCAAUCGUGAUUGUAGUGAGGGUAUUCUAAACCGAACCACUAGUACGAUUAGAGGGCAAGUCUGGUGCCAGCAGCCGCGGUAAUUCCAGCUCUAAUAGCGUAUAUUAAAGUUGCUGCAGUUAAAAAGCUCGUAGUUGGAUUUCAAGGAUUGUGUACUCUUCUUGUUUAUGCACCCUACUAGUCUUUGACUGUUACUGUGAGAAAAUUAGAGUGUUUAAAGCAGGCAAUUGCAAGAAUACAUUAGCAUGGAAUAACGAAUGUAUCUAGAAUCCUGGUUAAUCUAGGAACGAUAUAGAGACAGAGGGGGCAUUAGUAUCUAAUUGUCAGAGUGAAUUCUUGGACUUGUCUAAUUACUAACGUCUGCGAAGCAUCUGCCAAGGAUGUUUUCAUCAUCCACGACCAACCGCUACGGGAUCAAGACAUCAGAUACUGUCGUAGUCCUAUCUAUAACCUAUGCGACUAGGGAUUGGAGUGAAUCUUCCACCAUUCAGUACCUUAUGAGAAUCAAGUCUUUGGGUUCUGGGGGGAGCAUGUCCCAGACUGAACCUAAGAACUGACGAGGA